rnacentral:rRNA from 2 species
CAACUUGUUGGUAAGGUAGAGGCUUACCAAGGUUUUUACGGGUAACGGGGAAUCAGGGUUCGAUUCCGGAGAGGGAGCCUGAGAAACGGCUACCACAUCCAAGGAAGGCAGCAGGCGCGCAAAUUACCCAAUCCAAAGAGUGGGAGGUAGUGACGAGAAAUAAUGGGGGUAUCUCAAUGGGGUACCAUCCGUCAUGAACGUAAUAUAAAAAUUUUGAUGAGGACCUACUGGAGGGCAAGUCUGGUGCCAGCAGCCGCGGUAAUUCCAGCUCCAGUAGUGUAUAUCAACAUUGUUGCGCUUAAAACGCUCGUAGUUAAAUUAGUAAACGUUGAAAAAAUGAUUUUGUUUCAUUUUAGUGGAAACAAUUGAAUAAAUUGGUUUCCGUCAGCGUUUAUAGUGGUUGUGUAUAGGUAUUGAUUUAAGUAUCGUGCCUAUGUUUCAAUCGAAUGUGCCUUGAAUAAAGCAUAGUGCUCAAUGCAAGCGUAGACUGCUAGAGUGUAAUAGCAUGGAACAUGUAAACGGUAGAAUGCUGGAUAUAUUUUAUAAUAUUGAAAGUUAGCCUAGUUAUCGGUGGGUAAAGGCUUUGUAGAUUAAUAGAGAUGUUUGAGGGCACUGGUACUCUGGGGCGAGAGGUGAAAUUCUUAGACCCCCAAAAGACCGACUACUGCGAAGGCAUUUGCCAAGAAUGUUUUCAUUAAUCAAGAACGAAGGUCAGAGGAUCGAAGACGAUCAGAUACCGUCCUAGUUUUGACAGAAAACUAUGCCAGCGUAGGGAUUGGGCUGUCGCUCUGUAUGGGAGACGUAUGACUUGAUUCCUUAAGGGAAACCUUAGCUUUCGGGCUGCUGGGAGAAUAUUGCUGCAAGGCUGAAAUUUAAAGAAAUUGACGGAGAGGCACCACCAGGAGUGGAGCUUGCGGCUUAAUUUGACUCAACACGGGGAAACUCACCGGGUCCAGACAUUGGAAGGAUUGACAGAUUAAUGGAUCUUUCAUGAUUCAGUGAAUGGUGGUGCAUGGCCGUUCUUAGUUGGUGGAGUGAUCUGUCAGGUCUAUUCCGGUAACGAGCGAGACUAGGUUCUUUAUUUAGCAUUGCUGCCUUUGUUUCGAAAGGCUGGUGAUGGUAUAGAGAGACUAUUGGUUAUAAGCCAGAGGAAGCGUAGCAAUAACAGGUCUGUGAUGCCCUACGAUGUCCUGGGCUGCACGCGUGCUACAAUGGUAGGAGUAAAGGGAGGCUGGCCCGACAAGGCUGGAUAAACGUAAAAAUAGCUACCUUGAUAGGGAUUGAGCGUUGUAAUUAUUGCUCAUGAAAGAGGAAUUCCUCGUAAGCACAAGUCAUCAGGUUGUGUUGAAUACGUCUCUGCCUCUUGUACACACCGCCCGUCGCUACUACCGAUUGAGUUACUUUUAAAGCGGGUUGGAGUUUGUAUUGUAGUUUAUCUCCAUGCAGGCAAAGCCGACAA